AACGUUCGGAACCGGAGCUAAUACCGGAUAAUAUAUUGAACCGCAUGGUUCAAUAGUGAAAGACGGUUUUGCUGUCACUUAUAGAUGGAUCCGCGCCGCAUUAGCUAGUUGGUAAGGUAACGGCUUACCAAGGCAACGAUGCGUAGCCGACCUGAGAGGGUGAUCGGCCACACUGGAACUGAGACACGGUCCAGACUCCUACGGGAGGCAGCAGGG
rnacentral:rRNA from 1 species